rnacentral:misc_RNA from 1 species
AAAGUCGUAACAAGGUUUCCGUAGGUGAACCUGCGGAAGGAUCAUUAUUGAAUAUUCUUGAUGGGUUGUAGCUGGCUCUCCGGGGCAUGUGCACACUUGUCUUGACUUUAUUCGUCCACCUGUGCACAUUUUGUAGUCUUGGGGGUUGAGAGCAAGUCGACUAUCGGAUGGCUAAGGCCUUUCCGGACGUGAGGAUUGCUGAGUGCGAAAGUAUACAGCUCUUCUUAAAUGACUUGUAAUACCUCUCCCUCGAGUACUAUGUAUUCAUAUACCACAUAGUAUGUUGUAGAAUGUAAUCAAUGGGCCUAUGUGCCUAUAAUAAUGAUAUACAACUUUCAGCAACGGAUCUCUUGGCUCUC